rnacentral:snoRNA from 1 species
UGUCCGUGAUGAAAAACCUUAUUUUCAGUUCUGCUUCUGAAGCGCUGUGAAGAUAACCCUAUACCAAAAACAUUUUCUGAUUA